UAAGACCAUCGUCAAAGUUCGUAUACAGCGGAUGACUCAUCCGUGUAACUGCGUUCGCGUGUCUCGGUCGCUAACGGCGGCAGGCGUGUCCACCCCGAGAGCCACCGUUUCGUUUCUCGAUUUUUUUUUUUUUUUUCUAAUCAUCUUGUUUCCUUUCAUGUUCCUGGCGCCAUGACCGGAGCGGCCGAGCUCUGCAAUGGCGAGAGAGCUGUCGUCUUCCUCUUCGUCUCCGGCGUCCUCUACUCCUCCCCCCUCUCCCUCUCCUACGAGGCCGCUGCCCUCUGCCUCCUCGCCGUCGCUGGCCUCGUCAUCGAGAUCUCCGCCGAGAGCUCCACCGCCCUUGACCGCUUCAAGACCAGGCCUGGCGCUUCAUCUGGGAUACAACUUGGAGCUGUCACACUUCCUACCGUCAUGCUAUCACGGUUGAUACAACUCUCGAGGGCACUAUUGAGGCAAGAUGUUGGGCCUGAAGAGCUUGCAUAUAUGAGCAUGCAAUAUUGGACUGUGUCCAUUAGCUGCUUUGGUGUGCUAAUCUUCAUCUGUUUAUUACUGAGGCGUUCUCCCAACGGUGCAAGUUUUUUUCAUUUGGGGAGUUCUCAAGCUUCAAAAUAUAGCUUACUCCACACAGUUCUGUAUGCACUUACGUGCUAUCUGUCUUUUGCAACAAAAUCAGAUGGUGGCUGGUUUGUCACAAAGAAUUUGUUGUGGUUGCUCUGCCAUGGACUGGUUACUGUGUUUCUUAUCCAGUAUAUUCUCCGAACGUUUCCAUCCUGUGCUUCUAUAGGAGAAGCACUUCUGGUGUCAAGUGGUCUGGUUCUUUAUUUUGGUGAUGUAUUGAGACAUACUCUUUCAAAGAUCAAUUUUUUCUUCAUAUCAUCAAAAUUAAAUUUCAAAGAAUAUGGAAGUCAAAGUGAAAUAGCCACAGUUAUCCAGGGACUUUUGCUUGGUCUUCUCCUGUUGCCAGUAUUUUACCAAAGUCUUCUUCAAAUUUGGGUUUACUUUGCAAAUUCAAGUAAGCCUGAAGAGCAAGCUGCUGAAGGUUGGAAAUAUAGAAGGAUUGGAAGUUCUGUUGUAUUUUAUGCUUCUUUGUUAGUUAUAUCGACUAUUUUAGCUCCAGCAUGGAUGUACCACGUUCAGGAUUUCCAUGUUCAUCCUCUGUUAUGGGUAUUUAUUUUUGUGUUCACUGACCCACUGAAACGGUUGGCAUUAUGUAUAUACUGGAUAUGUGUGAUAUGUGCAUCUGUUUUGCGGUUCUACAAUAUAUCAAAGCACAGCAAGAUUGAGAGGAUUCUUCUGCGAAAGUACUACCACCUAGUGGCAGUUCUAAUGUUUUUGCCUGCUCUUCUGUUUCAGCCAUCUUUUCUGGACCUAGCAUUCGGUGCUGCUUUGGCAGUUUUCUUAAUAUUGGAAAUGAUUCGAGUAUGGAAAAUAUGGCCUCUGGGGCACAUUGUACAUCAGUUCAUGAACGCAUUUACUGAUCAUCGUGACUCUGAGAUUCUUAUCAUCAGUCAUUUUUCUCUCUUAUUGGGAUGUGCUCUUCCAAAAUGGAUGUCUUCUGGGUUCAAUGACCGACCGCUUGCUCCUUUUGCUGGGAUUUUGAGCUUAGGAAUUGGUGACACCAUGGCAUCAAUGGUUGGCCACAAGUAUGGUGUUCUCAGGUGGAGCAAAACUGGGAAGAAAACUAUUGAAGGUACUGCAGCUGGCAUAAUGUCAGUCUUAGCAGCUUGUUCAUUACUCCUUCCUCUCUUAGCAUCCACUGGUUUUAUACUGUCCCAGUGUCAUAAAAGAAUGCAACUCCAGGGUUUUCCUAUAUGGACCUGCAGAUAUUUAUUAUAACAGUACUACCAGUCACCUAUCCAUUUACCACCUAGUUUCUGGUCCGGUGUUGGCACUCGGGAACUGGUAUGGUGCAGGGGGGGUAGCUGGUGGCAGUAGGCUCUGAGUACUGCUCGGCCACUCACCGAUUCCAGAUAGGACCAGUGAAUUGAGAGGUUAUAUGGUGGGUGAUCUCCAUUUAUUUUUCUCAUUAAAUUAAUAUGAGAAAUGACAUUGCCUAAGGGCUGAUAAACAGAUAGCUCAGUGUUGGAAUUAAGUCAAUCAUAGCACUGGUUAUCUUUGCUUCUGGCAGUCACUGUGACUGGUUUAUUAGAGGCCUACACGGCACAGCUUGACAAUGCUUUCAUUCCACUUGUAUUCUAUAGCCUCCUUUGCCUAUGAAUAUGAAGAAUA